rnacentral:ncRNA from 2 species
AAUUACGGAUCAAAGACAGCUCAUAUAAUUUCGUUGCAUGGAACGAAAGUUUCUACUGAGCCGCCAGCGGCUCUGCUAUGAGUGUCCGGCAAAAAUAC